rnacentral:tRNA from 2 species
GCCGAGGUGGUGGAAUUGGGAGACACGCUGUCUUGAGGGGGCAGUGGGCGUGAGCCCGUGCGGGUUCGAAUCCCGCCCUCGGCACCA